rnacentral:misc_RNA from 1 species
GGCUUCCACAAAGGCACCCCGCAGCAAAUGCUUGCCCUGUCUCAAUCCCGAGGCAUCGGCUUGCCUGGCAUCAUGCUGGCGAGCGAAAAAGGGUUGCUCUUAUUCGGCACGCAUGAAGACGCGGAAUGUUGGGGCAUCACCGACAGCACGGGCAGGGCUUUGGAGCUUCGCAAGAUGGACCGGAGAAACUUUGUUUCGACUGGAAAGAAGUGCAAAGCGUUGUCUGGUUCACAGAAAAGGCCGGUGGGGUUGGAAGAGGCGAAACCAUUCCCAAAAGUUUGCAUCACGGAAGGCACGCCGGAUUUUCUCGAAGCAUGGCAUCACGUCCGAUCGGAAGGCAAAGAAGAUUCUGUCGCGGUGGUUUGCAUGCUCGGCGCGGGCAC